UGAAAUAUGAAUGGAUUUAAUGAGGCAGCCUGUGCCAUCUCUGAGCAGAAUCCUCCAUCUUUGGGACCAUCGUUCUCUUCUCACUACCAUGCGCCUUCUUGGUCCUAGAUAAUGAUACCAUUAACCUGAAUCCCAGAAGGAUGAGUGAGAAAUAGCUCUUCAUGCUACUUUCCUCUUGACUCCCAGACUUGAUAAAAAUCAACAUACCACUGAAUUCUGCUGUUCUAAAAUCUGAGGCCUCUUGCUGUCUGGGUGCUUCAGGAAGACAUAUGCCUUCCACUGCCCACGGGAACAGUUCUUCUCAUCCCUUUUCUCGCAAAGGAGUAUCAUAGAAAAAAAAUUGAAAAAUACUUCCCCAUGUGAAGGAGCUUUGGUUCAGCUGCAGAGCUAAACUCACAUCUGCACUAAAUUGGAAUUGGCUGUGAAUGAUUACAAAUGAAAAUCUGUUGUUGCUGAAGGAUCUUAUUUGCAACAAAAGACAAGAACAGGAACAAAGAAAAUGCAACCUACAAUGCAGUAUUAGAACUUCAAAGGAAAACAAAAUGCAUGUUUACAGGUAAAGAAUCCUCCA